AGACAAGGUCUUUACAAUCUGUCUUCCCAACAACGACAUCAAAAACAUACCAAACGUUUUCCUCAGUUCGCUUCGAAGAGAAAUGGCGAGAAGAGAUUCCUUUGGUGGCUAUGAAGAGGAGAGAUUCAAAGACAAAGUAGACAUUAAACUACAGUGCUCGAUUUGUCUCAAGGUCUUAAAAGAUCCAGUACAAUGCCCGAAUGAGCAUUACUUCUGCGGCUCGUGUAUUCGAAAGUGUUUGCGCGAAAACGCCGAAACUUGCCCGAUGUGUCAACACCAUCUGAC
rnacentral:lncRNA from 1 species